GAUGAACGCUAGCGGCAGGCUUAACACAUGCAAGUCGUGGGGCAGCGCGAGGUAGCAAUACUUUGGCGGCGACCGGCAAACGGGUGCGUAACACGUACGCAAUCUACCCUUAAUUGGAGAAUAGCCCAGAGAAAUUUGGAUUAAUACUCCGUAACAUGUUGAGAAGGCAUCUUCUUAAUAUUAUAGCUCCGGCGAUUAGGGAUGAGCGUGCGGCUGANAGGUAGUUGGUAGGUAACGGCCUACCAAGCCAACGAUCAGUAGCCGAUGUGAGAGCAUGAUCGGCCACACGGGCACUGAGACACGGGCCCGACUCCUACGGGAGGCAGCAGUGAGG
rnacentral:rRNA from 1 species